rnacentral:tRNA from 1 species
AAAGGUAAAGCCAAAUCAUAGAGGCGGGCCUCUGUUAUAGGUUUGAUUGGAGAGUUCUCCUGCCUUUA